AUUCAAAACUCUCCACCUCACUCUUAUCCGAAGGUUACUCAUUCGUUCUCUUCCCUAAACUCGGGUGUCAGCAGUUCUGAACUCAGCUGUAAUGGCGACAUCGUCACUUUCUUCUGCAACUCCUUAUCUGCAAGCUAUUCCCCGAACCAAAGUUUCCGCCUCUCUCCAAGGUGUUAGUAAUGUGGAAUGCAAUCAUUUACAACACCAAGUUGGACGAACCAAUGUUUCAUUCUGGAGUUCUGGUGCUAGCUAUGUUAGGUUAAAUUGUCGUGUUCAGAAGUUUCCUGUGAAGUCUGUUGUUGUGAAUCUGUCUCGAAACAGAGAAGGAACUAUUAAAUGUGCAACUAUUGAAGAAAUUGAAGCUGAAAAGUCUACGAUAGAAAAGGACACUAAACAAAGGAUGGAGAAGACUCUUGAAACAGUACGCUCAAAUUUCAAUUCUGUAAGGACAAAUCGAGCUAGUCCAUCAAUGUUGGAUCGGGUAGAGGUCGAGUACUAUGGAACUCCAGUCAGCUUGAAAAGCAUUGCUCAAGUUAGUUCCCCAGAUGCUAGUUCUAUUUUAAUAUCGCCAUAUGACAAAUCAAGCUUGAAGGCUAUAGAGAAAGCAAUAGUAACCUCUCAACUUGGUCUAUCGCCAAAUAAUGACGGUGACGUUAUUCGGCUGUCCCUGCCUCCAUUAACAUCAGAGAGAAGGAAGGAGCUUUCGAAAGUUGUUGCUAAACUUGCAGAAGAAGGAAAGGUAGCAGUGAGGAACAUAAGAAGAGAUGCUUUGAAGGCUUACGAAAAACUGGAGAAGGAAAAAAAGCUUUCAGAAGAUAAUGUGAAAGACCUAUCCGCUGAUCUGCAGUUCUCUUCCCAGAACUUAGCAACUGGAUAUUCUUCCUAAUUGCAGAAGAUGACUGAUGAGUACAUGAAGAAGGUUGAGACUAUCUACAAGCAAAAGGACCAGGAGUUGAUGAAAGUCUAAGAGUUGUACAAAGACAUAAACUUGCAAACUCCGCAACUGUGAAUUCCAACUUCCCUUAAUGGUAAAGCAUGAUGCCAGAGCUUUCUUUUGCAUUUCUCUUGUAAAAAACAUUAGAUACCCCAAAAUAUUAGGUCUUGAUUUACCAAUUCUUGGUAGAAUUGGACAAAGCUUGAAGUUACCCUCUUUUUGUAUUAACCACGUUAACAGUAAAAAAUGCUCAUUUCAAUUUGGAAAUUAGAGUGGGUUUAUCUUCUUUUCCAAGGAAAAUGUUCUCUUUUUGUUCAA